rnacentral:rRNA from 1 species
UACGGAGGGAGCUAGCGUUGUUCGGAAUUAUUGGGCGUAAAGCGCACGUAGGCGGCUUUGUAAGUUAGAGGUGAAAGCCCGGGGCUCAACCCCGGAAUUGCCUUUAAGACUGCAUCGCUUGAAUCCAGGAGAGGUGAGUGGAAUUCCGAGUGUAGAGGUGAAAUUCGUAGAUAUUGGGAAGAACACCGGUGGCGAAGGCGGCUCACUGGCUCAUUACUGACGCUCAGGCGCGAUAGCGUGGGGAUCAAACAGG